AGAAGCCCUGCAGUUACUGGAGCGUAGCGAAGGGUUUUGAGCAGGGGAUCAGCACCUGCUUUUCAGCUUUCAUUGGAGUUUCUCUUCAGCCAUCAGAAGAGUAAAGGAAAACCAGAAACUGCCAUCAGAAUGAGCAGCAUGAUUAUACAUCAGUAACAAGCAAAUUGCUUGUCAAAAAGGGGACCCUUCACUUAAUGCUGCUCCUUUGAAAUAAAAGUAUCUCCAACAGCUCUGAAGUUCAAGGAUAUGUUCUCAGUUGGUGUGAGUGAUGAAACCUUAACAGAAUUUCACUCAGAAGUUCAACUUUGUUGCCUAUGCAAGUCAAGAUGGAUUUCACAGAGCAAACAACAACAGUGAAGGCUGCUGAGUUUAGAGGUCCAAAUAAGACAGCAUACUUGGAGAAGUUGUCAUUCAGUGUUUUAAAGAAAGUCAAAAGCUUCGUGACCAUGGUAUAUAUCACAUGAAAAGAUGAGCGUUUGUCUCCUCUUCAGCUUAGUUCACUUCUUUACAAUGAUAAGAUGAAGCAAAGUCAAGAUCAGCUGCAAGAAAGACUUGGAAGAGUAAAAAGAUACAGGUGGGGGUGGGAAGUCUGGGUUCUGUGCUCAGCCCUGGAGUUCAAAAUAUUUAUUCAAGAAUUGUCUGGAUCUGCAGCUGUCUAAUCUCAAGUUAAAGAUGGAAUGUGAAGCAGGAUUUAAAGCACCGAGCAGACCAGGAGCUAAGGACUUUUAUGAUUGAUAGACCAAACGUACCACCAUCUGAAGGGUAUAGCUCAGUAGCCAUUUUCAGAGCAUGACUACAGGAAAAGACCCUGAACUGCUGCAACUGUUCAUCUCAGAUUAUGUGAUAGGAAGAAGAAAAAGAAGAGGAAGAAAGAUAGGAAGAAGAAAAAACAUCAAAACAACAAAUAAAACCUACCCUAGCUUUCCUCAUAUUGACCAAAUUAGGAUUCUUUUUCUGUGUCACGUAACAUUUAUCUUUUUAUAGAGCAGUGACAAUUAUAUGGCUUUUCCUUUGUCUCGUCUUGGCUAUACUGCGGUGAUUUGCAACAAAACUGAUGUUUAUAUAUUCAUUUUCACUCCAAGAGCAGGCUGCUGCUGUGUCUGAAAGAAACGUUUAAACUUCUCGUUUGUCAUUUUUCUAUUGUUUUUGGUUGGAUUUUUUUAUUUUUUUAUUUUUUGCUUUUUGGUGUUUUUUUUCCUAUGUCUCUUUUGUUGUUGUCUGUCAUAUUGGCUCCCUACUUCAGUAUUUAUUAUUCUUUACACUUUUUUUUUUCCCUACAGCACAGCAUUUCAUCUCAGAUGACUGUUUGACCACAGUGUUUCUCUGUAAAAGACGCAUGUAGCAGUUUUGAAAAGUCUACUUAGGUCUUACCACCUAUUUUAUCAGCUAAAAUGCUGAAGGUUAUGCUUAGAUUUCAUAUAUAUAUAUAUAUAUCCACUCAAUAUGUCUUCCUUUAUUUUUAGUGAUAGAAUUAAAUGUAAUAAAAAGGUAAUACUGAGAUGAUUUGUUGAACCAAGUGUUCAAAGUGCCUAUGGCCAAAAUACUAAAUCAUCACCUCCUUUGGUUAAGGGAAGUAACAUAUAUGACAAACUGAAAAGUCAGAUCAUUUGGAAGUAAAAAAGUACCUAAAUUUUUGCUGAAAUGUAUAAGAUACAGAUAUUACUUAAAAUGUUUAUGUGUGCAUACUCUAUACAUACUUUGAUUAUAUAUCUGCAUGUGUGUGUGUAUAUACAUGUAUAUGCUGAAACAUCUUGUCUGUGUGCGUAUGCAUAUGCGUGUGUGUGCAUUCUCAUGCAGGGUGAGCAUAUUUUGGCAAAUUUUGUGACUGUUUGAAAAACAUAGACUGCAGUUCAUGUACAUAAAUCCACCAUCUGAGAUACAUGUUUUAUUUGAUUUUAGCAAAAAGCAGAUUCUGAGCUGCGUGUUCUUUUUCUUAGCAGGAAUUCAUUUUCUAGUAGUUUUCCAGUCUUCAAAACAUGGGAUCCAAUUCAUUUUACACAUAUUUUAAUUUCAGUUCAAAUUGGGAAAAAAAAGUUCAAAAGUAAAGACAUUUUCUGCUGAACUUGAAAUAAAACUUUUGAAGACACAAAUUUCUAGGACAUACAUCAUUACAAGCCUCUUCCUUUUGCUUUCUUUCUUUUUUUUUUUUUUCUUUUUUUUUUUUUUUGAUAAUAGUAUACAAGCACAAGAACAGUAUAUAACCAGAAACCCUUAGGAAAAACAUGUAUUUCUAUUACAAGCAGUUGGACUUUCCUCAUAAGAAACAGUUUGGAAAUAUUGCUCAGCUGCGUUUGAAAUGUAUUGAUGAGAUAAUGUAUGUCAACUGAUUCUGAGGAAUAUAUGCAAGUUACCAAAUGCUUGUUUUGUUACUAGAAAACCUCAUUAGCAAAGGAAUAAAAUAGCUCA
ensembl:lncRNA